rnacentral:rRNA from 1 species
CCUACGGGAGGCAGCAGUGAGGAAUAUUGGUCAAUGGGCGCGAGCCUGAACCAGCCAAGUAGCGUGAAGGAUGACUGCCCUACGGGUUGUAAACUUCUUUUAUACAGGAAUAAAGUGAGGCACGUGUGCCUUUUUGUAUGUACUUUAUGAAUAAGGUUCGGCUAACUCCGUGCCAGCAGCCGCGGUAAUACGGAGGAUCCGCGCGUUAUCCGGAUUUAUUGGGUUUAAAGGGAGCGUAGAUGGGUUGUUAAGUCAGUUGUGAAAGUUUGCGGCUCAACCGUAAAAUUGCAAUGGAUACUGGCAGCCUUGAGUACAGUUGAGGUAGGCGGAAUUCGUGGUGUAGCGGUGAAAUGCUUAGAUAUCACGAAGAACUCCGAUUGCGAAGGCAGCUUACUAAACUGCCACUGACAUUGAUGCUCUAAAGUGUGGGUAUCAAACAGGAGUAGAUACCCGAGUAGUC